UAAAAAAACCAAAGUUGUAGUAACAUAAGAGUUAUUAUUUCUCUAGGGGUAAGACACUUGAUAUUUACAAAUACAUCUUGCCACUUCAUAAUCUCACUAUGCAAGGUGUGCAGCAACAGGGGAAAAUGGCAUUGGGCCAAUAAAUUUGGUAGUUUUGGUGGUUGAAGAAGCUUUAGCUCUAGACUCUAGAGUAAUUUCUACUCACUAUGUUAUGUAUCAUGGUGAGAUUUAAAAUUGACAACGUUUUUUAUUGUGGUCACAUCUGCAUUUAAUUUAUGAUAAACUAGUCCUAGUCUUGAAAUACCAGUAAGGUGGUGUGGCAUGGAGCUUUGUACUUUCUAGUUUCCUAUUUAAUAAAUUUGCAAUAUUAGUAAAUUUCCAAAUUUGUGGCACAAGUUGUUUUCCCUCCCUUUCAAUGAAUUGCAAUUAACAAGCUUGUAAUGAAUUCAAUUAUCCAACCCCUUCAUCUAUGCUGUGAGCCUACAAGGCUACAACAGCAUUAAGUAUUAUAUUCAGCUAUUUUUUCCUGUUUUUUAUAUGAAGGUGCUAGACAUGUACCCUUAAUACCAAUGAGUGGUUAGUACAUACUUGAUUCCCUUUAAGUGAGGUCUUGAGUUUGAAUCUUGUUAAUAGAAUAAAAUCAUGUUGGGAGAGUUAGCCCACCAGUGAACGUUCCCGACUAAAACAGAAUAGCAUCCCGGGAUAUCUGUGAUCAUAACAAAAGUAAUAACCUUAAUACAUGGUAGGAUCCUUCAACCCUUCAAUUUCUCUUGAAGUCUUCUCAAGGCAUCUUUGACCGUUUACAAUUACAAAAUACAAGUCUGAUGAGUGAAUUCCAUAUUAGAUCUAAAUUUAAGCAUCAAAUAAGAUGAAUCUCUUGAAAACUGAUUGCCUUUUUUCAUAAUUUAUUUUCAUGUUGUCCUUCCUUGUCCACAUGCUGCAUAUAUAAAAAAAAUUAUAUGUAAGUUGUGGUUCAGGUGGUAUCAGCAAUCAGCAUAGAUUAGAUUUCUUUGGAAUGAUGGGGGGGUAAUGUAUAAACUAGAUUACUUCCCUAAUUUUGGAGUACCUUAUAGGGUAUAUGUGUAAUUCAAUUUCUAUGCUCUGUGUGAUGAAUAUUAAGUGGUGUGGUCCUGUUAGUUGUGAGUUGUGACAAGCUGUUUGGGUUAAAAAAAUCAAAGGCCCACCCAACUAAGCCUUUCAUUCCUUGCUCCCAAACCAUUCCCACCUUUAAAAACACACUCAAUUGCUUGUUUUGUUAUAUAUGAGUAGCCUUGAAGCACCUAAGAAGAGUCCCAAAAUUCACCACUACCUGAACCUUUUUUUUUAUUUCCUCUUCAUUCUCUAGCUUCUAUUCUUGCUGUGAGAUUCUCAGAAGUGAUACUAUAGCUUGGCUUGAGAAAGGUGCAUGCUGAACAAGAUGGAGAAGCAGGGCACGUGCAAUGCUAACUCAUGAACACAAAGGAAGUGAACCCAGCAAAUCACAUUCCUUUCUGAUUGCGUGUUCGCAUACACGUUAGAAAACCACUGUGAAACCAAAAUCGUGGUUGACAUAAACAACUUCCCUUAACUUUUUUCUUUUAUUAAUCAUGAUUUUGGCUAAACUGUGAUUUUCUACCAUGAAUCCGAACAUGCACUGAUUCUGAUAGCUGCAGUAGCUCCAGUGAGUUAGUGCUUCAUGUGCCCCUCUUCCCCAUCAUGACAACAGCACCUUAUUGCAUUUGGAAAUGGUGAACUGAAAAAGCUUAUGUUCCACAUAGAAGUGGCUGCAGGUUUAUCCUCCUCACAAGGAAAAGCUUAUUUGUUGGGCGUACUUGGAGGAAGUCCUAACAUAGUGACAUGUUGUCAUAUAAUUUCGCACCAUAAAUUCUUAAUCAUUGAAUGAUUGUUGAUUAUUUUGCAAUCCUAUAUAAGUUAUGCUGAUAAUUUUAUUUGUAUAUAUAUAAUUAGUCCCUCAAUGUAUUACCACCAAACUCGUAAAUCAAAUAACACAUGAUUGUUCUAGCUUAA